UGGGGAAUAUUGGACAAUGGGCGCAAGCCUGAUCCAGCCAUGCCGCGUGAGUGAUGAAGGCCUUAGGGUUGUAAAGCUCUUUCGCCGGUGAAGAUAAUGACGGUAACCGGAGAAGAAGCCCCGGCUAACUUCGUGCCAGCAGCCGCGGUAAUACGAAGGGGGCUAGCGUUGCUCGGAAUCACUGGGCGUAAAGCGCACGUAGGCGGAUCGUUAAGUCAGGGGUGAAAUCCUGGAGCUCAACUCCAGAACUGCCCUUGAUACUGGCGAUCUCGAGUUCGAGAGAGGUUGGUGGAACUCCGAGUGUAGAGGUGAAAUUCGUAGAUAUUCGGAAGAACACCAGUGGCGAAGGCGGCCAACUGGCUCGAUACUGACGCUGAGGUGCGAAAGCGUGGGGAGCAAAACAGGAUUAGAUACCCUGGUAGUCCACGCCGUAAACGAUGGAUGCUAGCCGUUGGGGGGUUUACCUCUCAGUGGCGCAGCUAACGCCUUAAGCAUCCCGCCUGGGGAGUACGGUCGCAAGAUU
rnacentral:rRNA from 1 species